UUUGAUCCUGGCUCAGAUUGAACGCUGGCGGCAUGCCUUACACAUGCAAGUCGAACGGCAGCACGGGAGCAAUCCUGGUGGCGAGUGGCGAACGGGUGAGUAAUACAUCGGAACGUGCCCAAUCGUGGGGGAUAACGCAGCGAAAGCUGUGCCAAUACCGCAUAAGAUCUACGGAUGAAAGCAGGGGACUCGCAAGGGCCUUGCGCGAAUGGAGCGGCUGAUGGCAGAUUAGGUAGUUGGUGAGGUAAAGGCUCACCAAGCCUUCGAUCUGUAGCUGGUCUGAGAGGACGACCAGCCACACUGGGACUGGGACACGGCCCAGACUCCUACGGGAGGCAGCAGUGGGGAAUUUUGGACAAUGGGCGCAAGCCUGAUCCAGCCAUGCCGCGUGCAGGAUGAAGGCCUUCGGGUUGUAAACUGCUUUUGUACGGAACGAAAAGGUUCUUUCUAAUAAAGAGAGCUCAUGACGGUACCGUAAGAAUAAGCACCGGCAAACUACGUGCCAGCAGCCGCGGUAAUACGUAGGGUGCGAGCGUUAAUCGGAAUUACUGGGCGUAAAGCGUGCGCAGGCGGUGAUGUAAGACAGUUGUGAAAUCCCCGGGCUCAACCUGGGAACUGCAUCUGUGACUGCAUCGCUGGAGUGCGGCAGAGGGGGAUGGAAUUCCGCGUGUAGCAGUGAAAUGCGUAGAUAUGCGGAGGAACACCGAUGGCGAAGGCAAUCCCCUGGGCCUGCACUGACGCUCAUGCACGAAAGCGUGGGGAGCAAACAGGAUUAGAUACCCUGGUAGUCCACGCCCUAAACGAUGUCAACUGGUUGUUGGGUCUUCACUGACUCAGUAACGAAGCUAACGCGUGAAGUUGACCGCCUGGGGAGUACGGCCGCAAGGUUGAAACUCAAAGGAAUUGACGGUGACCCGCACAAGCGGUGGAUGAUGUGGUUUAAUUCGAUGCAACGCGAAAAACCUUACCCACCUUUGACAUGUACGGAAUUUGCCAGAGAUGGCUUAGUGCUCGAAAGAGAGCCGUAACACAGGUGCUGCAUGGCUGUCGUCAGCUCGUGUCGUGAGAUGUUGGGUUAAGUCCCGCAACGAGCGCAACCCUUGUCAUUAGUUGCUACAUUCAGUUGGGCACUCUAGUGAGACUGCCGGUGACAAACCGGAGGAAGGUGGGGAUGACGUCAAGUCCUCAUGGCCCCUAUAGGUGGGGCUACACACGUCAUACAAUGGCUGGUACAAAGGGUUGCCAACCCGCGAGGGGGAGCUAAUCCCAUAAAACCAGUCGUAGUCCGGAUCGCAGUCUGCAACUCGACUGCGUGAAGUCGGAAUCGCUAGUAAUCGUGGAUCAGAAUGUCACGGUGAAUACGUUCCCGGGUCUUGUACACACCGCCCGUCACACCAUGGGAGCGGGUUCUGCCCGAAGUAGUUAGCCUAACCGCAAGGAGGGCGAUUACCACGGCAGGGUUCGUGACUGGGGUGAAGUCGUAACAAGGUA
rnacentral:rRNA from 1 species